GUUCAACAUCGAUGAAUGGACAUGGGUUAGUCGAUCCUAAGGCAUAGGGAAGUUCCGUUUGAAAGGCGCCCUCGUGCGCCGUGUGCCGAAAGGGAAGCCGGUUAACAUUCCGGCACCUGGAUGUGGAUUCUCCACGGCAACGUAACUGAACGCGGAGACGUCGAAGCGUUAGGUAUUGGGUUCAAGGACGGUAACAAUAAGAGAUCACUCCGUAUUUGAGCCAGCACGAA
rfam:Neosartorya udagawae DNA, contig:Aud0017, strain: IFM 46973.